AGAUCACCACUUUGUUGGGAUGAAAUGACUAGAUGAUUGAAAUCAUCCGUCAAAAUUUGAUAGUGAAUAAAAUAGGGGCCAUGAUUGACAGAGUCAUAUGUUGACAAAUGACAAAUUGACCUAUGAUGUGAAAGUGGAGAGAUAAUUUCCAUAAAAGUUUCUCCAUCAAGAGAAAUCAUUGGACUCAAUGUGAAGGGUAAACCUAAACCCCGUUUUAUAGGCUCAUACGAGAUUGUAGAAAGGAUAGGCCCAAUAACUUACUGUUUGGCGUUAGCGCUAAGCUUUGAGAAUGUGCGUAAUGUAUCCCAUGUGUCGCAAUUAGAGAAAAAUGUUUACGAUUCAAAACAUAUGAUCCAUAAGAACAACAUUGUUAUUAGUCAAUAUUUGAGUCACGAAGGAAGAUCCAAAUCUAUCUUAGAUCGGGAAGUUCAGGUACUAAGGACUAAGUCGAUACCGAUAGUAAGGGACCUAUGAAUAUAACAUGGUCAAGAAUAGACUACGGUCUAACAAGAAAGUGAAGUACUCAGAGUUGUUUUCUGCGGUACAAAUUUCGGGACGAAAUUUCUUUUAAGGGGGAUAGUAUGUAAUGACCCGACUUUUUAUUAAGGAUUAUAUACUUUUAAAUUACUGAUUUAAGGAUUGAUUAUGGUAAUUAGGGAUCAGCAUCCAUUAAUAAAAUACGAACUUAUAUGAAUUUGAUAAUUUAUAUAUGUGAUGAUUUAUUUUUUUUAUUUUCAAUAGAUGAUGCACUCAAAAUAUAUUUUGAGUCCAUUAAUUUAUUGUGGAGAAUUUAACACUGAAGUGUUAAAUAUGAAUCUUUUAUCGAUUGUUUACUUAAGCCCAUGAGUAAUUUAAUUUAUGUUAGAGGCAAGCUCAAGUGAAUUUUAUGCUUCAAUGAGAAUUAGGCUUAUAUAUCUUAAUGUGUUUAUAUGAGAUUAAGCACAUAUGGUUCUCAUUCAUCCACAUCCCUCUCAUUCUUCUAUUAAACCAAUCACCAAUACGUUCACAAUUUUCUUCACCUACUACUUCACAAUUUUCUUCACCAAUACGUUCACAAUUUUCUUCACCAAUACGUUCACAAUUUUCUUCACCUACUACUUCACAAUUUUCUUCACCUCUAAAGUCAAUCUCCAAAUAGAAUUUUGCUUCUUUAAAACCUAUUCCACUAUCUCAACUCACCCAUUCCCACCUCUGCAGCAAGUUUUAUAAAGUAAUAGAGUGAAGAUUAUUCAUCUCAUUCAAUUCUUCUUCACAAUUGGCUUCUAAUCUAUGCCAUAUAUAAAAUCUGCAGAGACUAAUACCAUACACCUAUUCAAGGUUCAAAUAAACAAAAGCGUCUGAGUAACCUAUCGCGCUAAGGAAAGAGAAUCGUUGUCUUAAGUAGCAAAACACUGCAAUCAGGUUGAGCUGAUGUGAUGAUGGUGCUGCAAUGAGCGGAGUCUCCAGGGUUGUUAAUAAAUAGUUAACCUGUCUAGAAUAUGUCUUCAUACAUAUGUCUAGCUACUUUCCGCUGCAAGAUGUUGUUGAUGUUAUAGUAUGUUAUGUCAUACUUUGAGUCUUAAGAGAAUGGUUUCAUAUGAUGUAUAACUUGAUUAAUGAUAUUAAUUAAGUUUUAUGCUGUCUUUCA